CACUCCUGCGGGAGGCAGCAGUGGGGAAUAUUGGACAAUGGGCGCAAGCCUGAUCCAGCCAUGCCGCGUGAGUGAUGAAGGCCCUAGGGUUGUAAAGCUCUUUCACCGGUGAAGAUAAUGACGGUAACCGGAGAAGAAGCCCCGGCUAACUUCGUGCCAGCAGCCGCGGUAAUACGAAGGGGGCUAGCGUUGUUCGGAUUUACUGGGCGUAAAGCGCACGUAGGCGGACUAUUAAGUCAGGGGUGAAAUCCCGGGGCUCAACCCCGGAACUGCCUUUGAUACUGGUAGUCUUGAGUUCGAGAGAGGUGAGUGGAAUUCCGAGUGUAGAGGUGAAAUUCGUAGAUAUUCGGAGGAACACCAGUGGCGAAGGCGGCUCACUGGCUCGAUACUGACGCUGAGGUGCGAAAGCGUGGGGAGCAAACAGGAUUAGAAACCCGGGUAGUCCCAUGA
rnacentral:rRNA from 1 species